CAAGUCUGAACAACUGAGGCUACACUUCACAACUUAAAGGAUCUGCUGUUAAUGUCUUGGUGCCAGAUACCACAGCAAGCCUUCAGAGGUCUUGAGGAGUCCAAUCCUUAAAGGGUUUUACUUACUGUUGGUUGCUAACUGGAGAGCCUGGUAGAGGAAGCGAGUACAUGGGAUGAGGAAGAAGGCCAUUAGAAGAGACGAGUGUGUGUGCUCUACACAUGUACGUGCUAAUGGCUGUUGGAAACAGGACCAGCAUUUUCAGAGAGAGUGAGAGGGAGAAUUUUUCAUCCUGUUGGAAAGAGGAGAAAAUGUCAUUUGUGAGGACUGGCAAUUUGGCUAGAACAUUACCUGAUGAAGAACCAGAAGAAGCCAUAUCCCAACUGAGGAAGUUGGGGUCAAAGCACAGGGGAAGCUACUGUAUGAUACAGUACCCCUGGAGCAGAGAGGGCUUGCUCAAACGUAUUGAGUAAAGAUGUAUAAUGUACAAGCAUUAUUUCUUAACUAGUGUAGGGUAUGUUAUUAUGGGGUAUACAUUUCAUCUAUACUUCCACACACCCCUUUUUUUGUUUAAAUUGACACAAAAUGUGUGUUAGUUAUACACACCACAAUACUGGGUACAGAAAACAGGGUACAAACUUCAGUUCUCAUAUACUAAGGUACAUCAUAAACUAUAUUAAAGUAAUUCUAAAUUAAAAUAUCACUGUUGGGCAUCAGCUGGGAAACAGUCUUGAACAGAAACUGUUUUACAUCUACAAAGUGAUUGCAGACAAAUUUGAUAAAUGAGCCAACACUUUUUGGCGAACAUAAAAAUGGCAGCCGAGCCAGUAAAUUAUUGAGCGUGUUUAUA